UACGUAGGGUGCAAGCGUUGUCCGGAAUUAUUGGGCGUAAAGAGCUCGUAGGCGGUUUGUUGCGUCGGCUGUGAAAUCCCGAGGCUCAACCUCGGGUCUGCAGUCGAUACGAGCAAACUAGAGUGUUGCAGGGGAGACUGGAAUUCCUGGUGUAGCGGUGAAAUGCGUAGAUAUCGGAAGGAACAUCGGUGGCGAAAGCGGCGCGCUGGACCUCUUCUGACGCUGAGGCGCGAAAGCCAGGGGAGCAAACGGG
rnacentral:rRNA from 1 species